rnacentral:rRNA from 1 species
CCUACGGGAGGCAGCAGUAAGGAAUAUUGGACAAUGCCCGCAAGGGUGAUCCAGCCAUGCCGCGUGCAGGAAGAAGGCCCUAUGGGUCGUAAACUGCUUUUACACCGGAGAAAACCUCCCUUCGUGAAGGGAGCUGAUAGUAUGGUGAGAAUAAGCAUCGGCUAACUUCGCGCCAGCAGCCGCGGUAAGACGAAGGAUGCAAGCGUUAUCCGGAUUCAUUGGGUUUAAAGGGAGCGUAGGUGGACUGAUAAGUCAGUGGUGAAAUCUUCGAGCUUAACUCGGAAAUUGCCAUUGAUACUGUUAGUCUUGAGUACAGUUGCUGUGGGCGGAAUAUGACAUGUAGUGGUGAAAUACAUAGAGAUGUCAUAGAACACCGAUUGCGAAGGCAGCUCACAAAGCUAGUAACUGACACUGAGGCUCGAAAGUGCGGGGAUCAAACAGGAUUAGAUACCCUGGUAGUCCGCACUGUAAACGAUGAUUACUCGCUGCUAGAGGGCAACGUUUUAGUGCUUAGCGAAAGCGAAUAAGUAAUUCACCGUGGGGAGUUACGCCGGCGACGGUUGAACUUCAAGGAAUUGACGG